UUCAGGGGUAAACCUGAGAAACCCGAAAGGUCGAAGGGGGAAAUUCAUUCGCGUUUCGGAGUCGCAGCGAGGCGGUCGCGCGACGAACGGCGUACGCGUCGUUCGCGCCUUCCGUUUCGUCUUAUCGUGCGGCUUCGAACGCGUGCACUUUUCCCCUAGUAGGACGUCGCGAUCCGUCGGGCGUCGGUCUAAGGUUCCACGGUGGAGCCCGGGCGUGCGUCUCAACCGCGUCACGCUCGGACCCGAGGUACUUACCCGGCCGACUCGCUCGACGGUAUACAGAUGGCGCGGGGCCGCUACUUCAAAUAGUUAGCGUCCGGCCCGCGGCAAGCGCGUUCGCGUCGACGGCGAUCGGACCCGGUGCCGAUCCCGUCGCCGGACGACUGUUGGCCGCGGAGUUCUCGGACAGACCUCGAAUCUCCGAAACGCCGAUCUGCGACGCUAUAGCUUUGGGUACUUUCAGGACCCACGGACCAAGGAGUCUAGCAUGUGCGCGAGUCAUUGGGACAUAACUAAACCUAAAGGCGUAAUGAAAGUGAAGGUUCGCCUCGCGCGAACCGAGGGAGGACGGGCGAGUCGCGUUCGUUCGCGACCGUUCGGCACUCCCGGGGCGUCUCGUUCUCAUCGCGAGAAGAGGCGCACCAAGAGC
rnacentral:rRNA from 1 species